AUCAAGCAUCCUGUUUUUAAGGAAGGGAGAGCAACGACAAUAUGGUCAUUCCAAUUUGAUCUGUCUUUCAUUCUCUCAAUUUGGUUCAUAAUAGGCAAAAAGGCACCUUCAAAAAAUGCCUCUUUCAUUUAUAACUGAAGCCAACUGUGAACAGCACGAGUAGUUGGGGUCAUUUGGAUUAUCCUAGGAAACAUCUGUGCACGUUUUUCCAGGACUAGGCUGAAAACUUGUGGAAUGGAUGCUUGCUGAACAUUCAUAGGUUCCAGCAUAGUUUUAUCAAGAAAAAAAAGAGCCUCCCAAAUCCUGAGCAAGCUCUAGCAAUGCACGAGGCAACCUCCUUAUCAAUGUGGACAUCCCUGGAACUUAUACUGCCAAAAUUGAUUGAGAGACUUCUUCAAGAUUGAUAUAUAACCUUUACAUCUAUUAAAAUAAUCAGGCAUAAGCAAUAAGGAGAGGAACAGAUUCUCAAAGUAUUAUUUAUACCUCAUGUAGAAGAAAACAAAUCAAACGUCCAAACAUAGGGACAGAAAGCUGUUAACUGUAGAAUGCUGUCAGACAACCAAGAGAACAAACCAAAAAGUGAAGGACAGUUGAUAUCAGAUGGGGAAUUGAUAGAGUACAGCAAAGGUCACCAGAAAUGUGGCUAUAUAAAGGAGAGAAGAUGGCAUUUUAUCAAAGAGAUGUUCAAAGGGCACAAGAAAAAAAAAAAACAAAAUGGAAAAUCAAAAGGUACAGAAAAAAAGUUGGAAGAAAACAAGAGUGUAACAAUCCAGUGACAUGAACAAAAAAAA